UACGUAGGGGGCAAGCGUUGUCCGGAAUUAUUGGGCGUAAAGAGCUCGUAGGCGGUCUGUCGCGUCUGCUGUGAAAACUCAGGGCUUAACCCUGAGCUUGCAGUGGGUACGGGCAGACUAGAGUGCGGUAGGGGAGACUGGAAUUCCUGGUGUAGCGGUGAAAUGCGCAGAUAUCAGGAAGAACACCAAUGGCGAAAGCAGCUCUCUGGGACGGUACUGACGCUGAGACGCGAAAGCGUGGGGAGCGAACAGG
rnacentral:rRNA from 1 species